CAGCAGCCACGGUAAUACAGAGGGUGCGAGCGUUAAUCGGAUUUACUGGGCGUAAAGCGUGUGUAGGUUGUUGUUCAAGUCAGUUGUGAAAUCCCUGGGCUCAACCUGGGAACUGCUUCUGAGACUGAACGACUAGAGUACGGUAGAGGGUGGUGGAAUUUCCGGUGUAGCGGUGAAAUGCGUAGAUAUCGGAAGGAACAUCAAUGGCGAAGGCAGCCACCUGGGCCUGUACCGACACUGAGACACGAAAGCGUGGGGAUCAAACAGGAUUAGAUACCCCAGUAGUCCCUGUCUCUUAUAC
rnacentral:rRNA from 1 species